rnacentral:rRNA from 1 species
CGUGUAGGCGGCUUGGUAAGCCAGAUGUGAAAGCCCAGGGCUCAACCCUGGAAGUGCAUUUGAUACUGCCAUGCUUGAGUAUGGGAGAGGAGAGCGGAAUUCCCAGUGUAGAGGUGAAAUUCGUAGAUAUUGGGAGGAACACCCGUGGCGAAGGCGGCUCUCUGGACCAAUACUGACGCUGAGACGCGAAAGCGUGGGGAGCAAACAGGAUUAGAUACCCUGGUAGUCC